GUAAUCACUUGUCUUCUAAAUAGAGACUACAUCACGAGAACUUAACUGUCUCCCUUUUCCAAUCAGUGAACCUAAUCUCCCCGUGAAGAAGCGGGGAUUCAUAAAUAAGACGAGAAGAUGGAGCUUUAAACACGUUUUUGGUUGGGGUGACCGCGGAAAAAACCUCCACAAUGAUACAACUUUAAGUAUCAACAAACUGACUAAUGAACCAAGUUACCCUAGGGAUAACAGCGCAAUCCACUUCAAGAAUCGACAAGUGGGCUUACACCUCGAUGUUGGAUCAGGGUAUCCCAGUGGUGCAGCAGCUACUGAAGGU
rnacentral:rRNA from 1 species